UGGGGAAUUUUGGACAAUGGGGGCAACCCUGAUCCAGCAAUGCCGCGUGUGUGAAGAAGGCCUUCGGGUUGUAAAGCACUUUUGUCCGGAAAGAAAACGCCGUGGUUAAUACCCGUGGCGGAUGACGGUACCGGAAGAAUAAGCACCGGCUAACUACGCGCCAGCAGCCGCGGUAAUACGUAGGGUGCAAGCGUUAAUCGGAAUUACUGGGCGUAAAGCGUGCGCAGGCGGUCCGCUAAGACAGAUGUGAAAUCCCCGGGCUUAACCUGGGAACUGCAUUUGUGACUGGCGGGCUAGAGUAUGGCAGAGGGGGGUAGAAUUCCACGUGUAGCAGUGAAAUGCGUAGAGAUGUGGAGGAAUACCGAUGGCGAAGGCAGCCCCCUGGGCCAAUACUGACGCUCAUGCACGAAAGCGUGGGGGAGCAAACAGGAUUAGAUACCCUGGUAGUCCACGCCCUAAACGAUGUCAACUAGUUGUCGGGUCUUCAUUGACUUGGUAACGUAGCUAACGCGUGAAGUUGACCGCCUGGGGAGUACGGUCGCAAGAUUAAAACU
rnacentral:rRNA from 1 species